rnacentral:tRNA from 1 species
CGGGGCGUGGCGCAGGCUGGCAGCGCACGUGCUUUGGGUGCACGAGGUCGGCGGUUCGAAUCCGCCCGCCCCGACCC